GAACCCGCCAUCGGCAUAAGAUAGUUUCGGGGUCGUGGAGCCGCUUAUCACUCCGGCGACAUCCUCACCCCGCGAAUGAUUGGCGAUUCACUUUGAUUUCCAGUUUCUAUUUUACCUUUUGGUUUGAACUCUCCGACUUUCGGUACUGCUUUGCUCAGUUUUUAUUUGUCUUUGGUCAGUGCGUCAAUGUUGUGAGGUAGGCAUUAAGGACUCUUCCUUCCGGUACCUAAGUUAGUUUUUUUGUUUUAGUAUUCUUUUCGGAGUAUAGUAUUUUGAGAUCUUUUGGCUUGGCAUUGAGGAGAA
rnacentral:lncRNA from 1 species